GGUUGUAAUAACUUUGUACACAGUUUUUGUCCUGUUGCCUUGCACUAUUUUUGCUUUUACAAGUCUUACGUUAUUAAGGUUACAGUAUGGCCUGACUUUUGCUAACUAACAUGAUCUGCUCUCUCCAAGGCAGAGAGGCCACCUGGAGGCAGUUUCCUCAGCUAGCCAAAAGCUUGUAGAAUUGGCUGCAGUUGCUCAUUUAUAAAUUGUAACCAUUGAUGAUUCAAAGCCCCCUGAAUGCUUGGGAGCUGGCUUUGCCUUGGCUGGAAAGACCAGUCUGUUCUGAGAUGGAAAUGGGAUUUGAAGCAGUUUGUUUCAGGUGAUUUAUAAGUUAGCUGACUGAGCUCAGUACAGGGAAGCUAAGGAGAAGCCUUGGCACUGGUGGUAUGUUUGGUCUCAGUAUAGUUCUCCAACUGCCUUCCCUAAUGCCCUUACACAAUGUACUAUCCUGAUUUGGAAGGCAAAUCUAGCCAUGUUUCUGGAGCUCUCUGAGGGAUUAGAUGCUCCUUUCUAUUUACUUUCUUCUGGCAAGUAUCCAAGAGAAUUUGCCUUCCUCUCGAAGGCUGGUCCAAGGACUGUACCUUGGUCCUGGAUCCGUAGAUUCUAAGGCCGGAAGGGACCAUUGUGAUCAUCUCGUGUGACCUCCUGUAUAACACAAGCUGCAGAACUGACAGCACCAGGCAUUUUCACCAGGACUCUGUACCGAUUGCAGUUACAGGCACUGCCUUCUGGGCCCUAAGCGUUGUCUUUCAUGUUGCUCCAGUGGCAGGUGUUUUGGUACUGUAGUUUGAUUUGCCCUUAAGGGCUAUGUGCUUCAGCUGGUCCAUGUCUAGUGGUUUGCCAGGCUCAGAAAUCAGUUUCUCGAGGAUCUCAGCGCAGAACUCUGCUGUGAAUAUUGCAUCAGUGCAGAGCACUCACAACAAAGGCAUGGACUUGGCCAUGCUUGGGCUCCACUCCUGACUCCUGUUGCACAAACUAGCCUUGCCUGAAAGGCAGUUAAAUGUGGACCAUGCGGCUAUUAAUCUGGAAGGGUGGCCUGGAGAGAAUGCAGUUCCCAACAUAUGGCGCCUUUCCACACUGCGUACUGGGACGUGGAAUCUCUCUGUAUUCUUAUCUGGGCCCCCAUCAUCACAAUGCCUGAGAGCAUCACAAACAGAAACAGAUUUAUACUGCCAACACCCUGUGAAGUCAGAAAGUAUCCCCAUUGUACAGAUGAGGAACUGAGGCACAUAGAGGCUGAAUGACCAGUCCACACUGGGAAGCUGUAAUAGUGCCUUAUCCACAAGCCCAUGACUUUGCAGGCUACACUUCCAUUUUCAGUAUAAAGGCAGCUGCAAUGUACCCGUUUAUACGCAGUGGGUGUAUGGCAAGCUGUCAAGAAGCUUCUUGGUUAGACAGAGUUUGGGCACCCAUGGGAUAAUCUGUUUGAUGUUGGUCUUGUGGCCUGGCUGUGGCUGUGUACAGUUGUUCCCAAUGGUCUCUGCAUCACCCUCUCCAGGUCUUGUGUAUCUGCUGGGUACCAUGUCCUCUCUCAGUGCCUUCUACCCCAGCAUGUCACUGUUGUGUUCAUGUGAUGGUUGAUCACCCCCACCUGGCCUGUACCCAGAGCUGUCCCCUAGUGCCUUAGUCUCCCUACCUUUUGUACAGGGACUGGUUUGUUUAUGUGGGUGAACUCCACAUUCUCUUGUAUUGUCUGGUGAGUUACAAUAAAAUAUCAGUGGACAGGGAAAAUUAGAGUGAGAGACUGCAGAGGAAAUCCGAUCUCCCUGCCAGGACUGCGUGGAUGGGGUUGAGGACUGCUGGCCCCUAAGAGGGACACCCUGCAUUGGCUUACCAGGAAACUGAGGCUCUCAGGACAAGAGCUUCAUUCAUGGGGCCACAUUCUCUGUUGCAGAAGUCCACCGAAGUCAUAAGAAUUAUGUCAGGUGAGAAUUUGGCCCAUGGUCUGUGAAACCACAGGAGAGGAUCAGGGAGCAUUUCCCUAGGGUGGAGUUCUUCUGGUGUGAUGAGAGCUGUUCUUUGCUGGGCUUUGAGUUGGGUAGGGUUGUCCCCUUGCUAAGUUUGGUGGGAUCACACUGGAUGUGCCAGGUGAUCUCUCCAGAACAGUUUUAGGGUAUGUCUACUCAGCAACUAGACACCCAUAGCUGGCGCAUGCCAGCCGACUCGGGCUGGGACUGUUUCGUUUCCAUUUAGACAUCUGGGCUUGGGCUGGAGCCCAGGCUCUAGGGCUCUGCAAGAUGAGAGGGUUAUGGGUCAGCCAUGGGUUUUUCUUUGUUGUGUAGACAUACCCUUAGGCUGCAUCAGGUGAUGAAGCCAGUAAACAAGAUUGUUCUGCAAAACACUUUCAGAGGCUCAUGGUAUGAAUUCCUACUUCUCUAGGAUAGGCUCUGGGGAGGAGUGGGGUGAGACCACCUGGUGCAGCCUGCCCCUCAUCCCCUGGCUCUGCUCUGCUCCAUCAUGCCCAGAGCCAGCCUGCCCUUCAUGCAGCUUUACCCUCUGCCUUAGGGUGUGGUCUGAUUUCAGUGUGCAUGCAGGAGAAAACUUCAAUUGAAGCAAGAGCAAAUAUGCCAGGAGAGAAGCACAUAGCCUGAGCCCGUGCUCUGAAGCCUCUGUGUUUGCGAGGGGAAGGUCUCCCCUCCACCAGGGGUACUCACAUCUCUGUAGCAAUGCAUACAGCCAUAGUGCCACAGGUGCCCAACUCUGGGCAGUCUCUGUUUCAGUGUCUCUAUCUGAGGCCCCUGUGUGGGGAAGAGUUCCUGCAUGCCUCAGGAGAUCCGAGUGCCACAUCCUGCCCUUCCCUGCUGGCUGUGUGGCAUAUACGCCACACUGGCUCCAGACGCCUUUCACAUUACUUGCCCUUAGGGCCCUGGGUGCUCUCAGAUCAGUGCCUUCCCCCACCUAUGGACUAGGUGGGCUCUGCUAAGGCAAGCUGUGUUGGUUGCUGUGAAAUCCCAGGCUUCUGCCCUGUGGUGGAGGGACACGGACUCCUGCUCCAUUGCACAUAUGCUGCUGGGAGCCCAGUAUUGUCCCUGAAUCUCCCUGUGAUCUCUG